rnacentral:rRNA from 1 species
GACGAACGCUGGCGGCGUGCCUAAUACAUGCAAGUCGAACGCAGUGGGGACGGGUGAGUAACACGUGGGUAACCUCCCAUCAGAGGGGAUAACACUUGGCAACAGGUGCUAAACCGAUACUGAUGGAUGGACCCGCGGUGCAUUAGCUAGUUGGUGAGGUAACGGCUCACCAAGGCCACGAUGCAUAGCCGACCUGAGAGGGUGAGCGGCCACACUGGGACUGAGACACGGCCCAGACUCCUACGGGAGGCAGCAGUAGGGAAUCUUCGGCAAUGGACGAAAGUCUGACGGAGCCACGCCGCGUGAAUGAAGAAGGUUUUCGGAUCGUAAAACUCUGUUGUUAGAGAGGCGUUAACUAACCAAAAAGCCACGGCUAACUACGUGCCAGCAGCCGCGGUAAUUC